rnacentral:rRNA from 1 species
GCCUAGCCCUAAACCUUGGUAAUAUAUCACAUACCCUACCCGCCUGGGAACUACGAGCACCAGCUUAAAACCCAAAGGACUUGGCGGUGCUUUAGACCCCCCUAGAGGAGCCUGUUCUGGAACCGAUAACCCCCGUUCAACCUCACCCUCCCUUGUUUAUCCCGCCUAUAUACCGCCGUCGUCAGCUUACCCUGUGAAGGACUAAAAGUAAGCACAACUGGUACAACCCAAAACGUCAGGUCGAGGUGUAGCGCAUGGGAGGGGAAGAAAUGGGCUACAUUCCCUAUAUUAGGGAACACGAACGGCGCACUGAAACACGCGCCUGAAGGAGGAUUUAGUAGUAAGCGGAAAAUAGCGUGUUCCACUGAAAUCGGCCCUGAAGCGCGC